AUACUUACCUGGCGUAGGGAUACCGUGAUCAUGCAGGCGGUUCCCCCAGGGUGAGGCUGCUCCAUUGUACUGCGGAGUAGUUGACUCUUGCGAUUAUUUUUAUUUAUAAGUUUCAAUUCUACCGUGUGUGAAUUGCACACACACACACACACA
rnacentral:snRNA from 9 species